AAGAUACGCCAAGCUUGGUACCGAGCUCGGAUCCAGGAGUACGGCCGCCAGUGUGCUGGAAUUCGCCCUUAGAGUUUGAUCCUGGCUCAGUCGUAACAAGGUAGCCAAGGGCGAAUUCUGCAGAUAUCCAUCACACUGGCGGCCGCUCGAGCAUGCAUCUAGAGGGCCCAAUUCGCCCUAUAGUGAGUCGUAUUACAAUUCACUGGCCGUCGUUUUACAACGUCGUGACUGGGAAAACCCUGGCGUUACCCAACUUAAUCGCCUUGCAGCACAUCCCCCUUUCGCCAGCUGGCGUAAUAGCGAAGAGGCCCGCACCGAUCGCCCUUCCCAACAGUUGCGCAGCCUGAAUGGCGAAUGGACGCGCCCUGUAGCGGCGCAUUAAGCGCGGCGGGUGUGGUGGUUACGCGCAGCGUGACCGCU
rnacentral:rRNA from 1 species